GCUGCCGUUGAUCGUGGCUCUGGCGAAGUCGGACUUGGCUCAGUCGUCUCUGGUGGUGCGCCGCUGAGCAAGGAGUUGGCCCAGUCAUCGAUUUUUCAGGUGAGAUUCCAUUGAAACCCUAAGCCCUAAACCGACAUCACAUAUGUUGAAUCGUUGAUGCAUGCGUGAAAUUUGAAGCUUAUAUGUGAAAUUGAAGUUAAAAAUCGUGUUUUUGCAAGGUUUUUGGGACGAAAUCGGCUCGGGAAUAGGCACACCAUCUCCAGCGUUCUUCUCCGGCGUUCGAUAUCGGAGUCCGAUUGCACCGUUCAACAAAAUAUCUCGAUAUUUCCAAAAUAUCGCGAUAUUAUCGAUAAUAUCGCGAUAUUUUGACGAAAACCACACGGAUACCUAUUUAAAUAUCCAUUCCCCG
rnacentral:lncRNA from 1 species